GCGGGAAUAGCUCAGUGGUAGAGCACCACCUUGCCAAGGUGGGGGUCGCGGGUUCAACCCCCGUUUCCCGCUCCA
rnacentral:tRNA from 1 species